UGUACACAUGACUGUAAGUCACUUUCGAUAAAAGCAUCUGCUACAUGGCAUAUU
rfam:Salmo salar isolate Sally breed double haploid chromosome ssa29, whole genome shotgun sequence.